CCUGGAGCUUUGAAAUAAGUCAAAUUUUAAAGACAUAUUCAAACAUUCGAGUGACUUUGACAUUGAUGCUCCUGAAGGUUAUCGACUGAAAAAUAAUGGAUACAAGACUGCCAAUCAUUUAUCAAGCAAAAAUAACAAGAUAUGCAGGAGAGUUGAUUCCACCGCAUGGUUCAGGUGCAUCCAAUAAGUGCCGGGGUCUGGAGCAAGAGUACUACACCUGUAUUAGUAACUAUGGCUUUGAUGUCGGAAAAGACAAAUGUGCUGCAGAGAAGAUGAACUAUCAAGAGUGCAGAGUUCAAAUUAAAGCGAAAAAGAGAAGAAUUGCAAUGGAUUCCGAGAGACAUAAACAGGGGAAGGAGGUCCUUCCAGAUGGACCCGCUCAUCUGCAUGCUACUCCAUUCUAUUGAUUUGUAAUACCAUGAAACUCUUAAUUACCUGAAUUUUAUAGGUCAAUAAAAUAUAUUUGAAAAAUG